UACGUAGGGUGCAAGCGUUGUCCGGAAUUAUUGGGCGUAAAGAGCUCGUAGGCGGUUUGUCGCGUCGGCUGUGAAAACCUGGGGCUUAACUCCGGGCCUGCAGCCGAUACGGGCAAGCUAGAGUUCGGCAGGGGAGACUGGAAUUCCUGGUGUAGCGGUGAAAUGCGCAGAUAUCAGGAGGAACACCGGUGGCGAAGGCGAGUCUCUGGACAGCAACUGACGCUGAGGCACGAAGGCCAGGGGAGCAAACGGG
rnacentral:rRNA from 1 species